rnacentral:rRNA from 1 species
UUCCCAUAGUAACGGCGAGUGAAAUGGGAAAAGCCCAGCGCUGAAUCCAUCGAUCACUGGUCGCUUGGAAUUGUAGCGUAUAGGUGCGGCUGUCCGCUCGUUUCGUGCACCCAAAGUCCCCUUGAGCGGGGCCAUAGUCCAAAGAAGGUGCUAGACCUGUACGGGUGGCGAGACGGUCGGUUGGUCGCUCCUUGGAGUCGGGUUGCCUGGGAUCGCAGCCCAAAGUUGGUGGUAGACCUCAUCUAAGGCUAAAUAUGGCCACGAAACCGAUAGCAAACAAGUACCGUGAGGGAAAGUUGCAAAGAACUUUGAAGAGAGAGUUCAAGAGGGCGUGAAACCGCCGAGAUUGAAACGGAUAGAGUUGACGAAACUCGAUCGCAUUCAUCCGAUCCGCCUAGCGGUUCGGCGGUUGUUGACUUCCUCGAUGAGGGCAACGCCGUCGCUGGCUGUUGGGUGUUAGAUGGGUGUAUUUGCGGUCGGUAUGCGCCGAGAGCUUUGCGAACGCAUGUUGGCGUUGAUGUAGUGGACCACUCCCUUCGGGCGUGGAACCCUGCACUGACUGAGGCAUGUCGUUUGUAGGGUGUUGCUGGUUGACGUCUCCGCUAUGGUGCGUCGGCUUUGUCGGACUGUUGUGGCUACUGGGUGAUCGCAUGCGAGCGCCUGUGGUUUAUGAUCGUACGAUGAGGUGCAGACGCGCUUGAGACGUGCAUCUCGGUGUGAACGUUGACCACCUAUCCAC